UACGUAGGGGGCAAGCGUUGUCCGGAUUUAUUGGGCGUAAAGAGCUCGUAGGUGGUUCGGUAAGUCGGAUGUGAAAUCUCCAGGCUCAACCUGGAGGGGUCAUUCGAUACUGCCGUGACUAGAGUUCGGUAGGGGAGUGUGGAAUUCCUGGUGUAGCGGUGAAAUGCGUAGAUAUCGGGAGGAACACCUGUGGCGAAAGCGGCGCACUGGACCACAACUGACGCUGAGGCGCGAAAGCUAGGGGAGCAAACAGG
rnacentral:rRNA from 1 species